AGCGGACAGAUGGGAGCUUGCUCCCUGAUGUUAGCGGCGGACGGGUGAGUAACACGUGGGUAACCUGCCUGUAAGACUGGGAUAACUCCGGGAAACCGGGGCUAAUACCGGAUGGUUGUCUGAACCGCAUGGUUCAGACAUAAAAGGUGGCUUCGGCUACCACUUACAGAUGGACCCGCGGCGCAUUAGCUAGUUGGUGAGGUAACGGCUCACCAAGGCGACGAUGCGUAGCCGACCUGAGAGGGUGAUCGGCCAUACUGGGACUGAGACACGGCCCAGACUCCUACGGGAGGCAGCAGUAGGGAAUCUUCCGCAAUGGACGAAAGUCUGACGGAGCAACGCCGCGUGAGUGAUGAAGGUUUUCGGAUCGUAAAGCUCUGUUGUUAGGGAAGAACAAGUGCCGUUCAAAUAGGGCGGCACCUUGACGGUACCUAACCAGAAAGCCACGGCUAACUACGUGCCAGCAGCCGCGGUAAUACGUAGGUGGCAAGCGUUGUCCGGAAUUAUUGGGCGUAAAGGGCUCGCAGGCGGUUUCUUAAGUCUGAUGUGAAAGCCCCCGGCUCAACCGGGGAGGGUCAUUGGAAACUGGGGAACUUGAGUGCAGAAAAGGAGAGUGGAAUUCCACGUGUAGCGGUGAAAUGCGUAGAGAUGUGGAGGAACACCAGUGGCGAAGGCAACUCUCUGGUCUGUAACUGACGCUUAAGGAGCGAAAGCGUGGGGAGCGAACAGGAUUAGAUACCCUGGUAGUCCACGCCGUAAACAAUGAGUGCUAAGUGUUAGGGGGUUUCCGCCCCUUAGUGCUGCAGCUAACGCAUUAAGCACUCCGCCCGGGGAGUACGGUCGCAAGACUGAAACUCAAAGGAAUUGACGGGGGCCCGCACAAGCGGUGGAGCAAGUGGUUUAAUUCGAAGCAACGCGAAGAACCUUACCAGGUCUUGACAUCCUCUGACAAUCCUGGAGAUAGGACGU
rnacentral:rRNA from 1 species